rnacentral:rRNA from 1 species
GUCGAACGGUGAAGCCCUUCGGGGUGGAUCAGUGGCGAACGGGUGAGUAACACGUGGGCAAUCUGCCCUGCACUCUGGGACAAGCCCUGGAAACGGGGUCUAAUACCGGAUACGACCACGGAAUGCAUGUUCUGUGGUGGAAAGCUCCGGCGGUGCAGGAUGAGCCCGCGGCCUAUCAGCUUGUUGGUGGGGUGAUGGCCUACCAAGGCGACGACGGGUAGCCGGCCUGAGAGGGCGACCGGCCACACUGGGACUGAGACACGGCCCAGACUCCUACGGGAGGCAGCAGUGGGGAAUAUUGCACAAUGGGCGCAAGCCUGAUGCAGCGACGCCGCGUGAGGGAUGACGGCCUUCGGGUUGUAAACCUCUUUCAGCAGGGAAGAAGCGUAAGUGACGGUACCUGCAGAAGAAGCACCGGCUAACUACGUGCCAGCAGCCGCGGUAAUACGUAGGGUGCGAGCGUUGUCCGGAAUUAUUGGGCGUAAAGAGCUCGUAGGCGGCUUGUCGCGUCGGAUGUGAAAGCCCGGGGCUUAACCCCGGGUCUGCAUUCGAUACGGGCAGGCUGGAGUGUGGUAGGGGAGAUCGGAAUUCCUGGUGUAGCGGUGAAAUGCGCAGAUAUC